rnacentral:rRNA from 1 species
GAUGAACGCUAGCUACAGGCUUAACACAUGCAAGUCGAGGGGAAACGAUAGAGAAAGCUUGCUUUUUCUAGGCGUCGACCGGCGCACGGGUGAGUAACGCGUAUCCAACCUGCCCAUCACUUGGGGAUAACCUUGCGAAAGUAAGACUAAUACCCAAUGACGUCUCUAGAAGACAUCUGAAAGAGAUUAAAGAUUUAUCGGUGAUGGAUGGGGAUGCAUCUGAUUAGCUUGUUGGCGGGGUAACGGCCCACCAAGGCGACGAUCAGUAGGGUUCUGAGAGGAAGGUCCCCCACAUUGGAACUGAGACACGGUCCAAACUCCUACGGGAGGCAGCAGUGAGGAAUAUUGGUCAAUGGACGAGAGUCUGAACCAGCCAAGUAGCGUGCAGGAUGACGGCCCUAUGGGUUGUAAACUGCUUUUAUAAGGGAAUAAAGUGAGUCUCGUGAGACUUUUUGCAUGUACCUUAUGAAUAAGGACCGGCUAAUUCCGUGCCAGCCGCCGCUGUAA